rnacentral:misc_RNA from 1 species
GUUGAAUUAAAGCACCGGUUUGAACAAACUAUGAAAGAGGCAGCGGACAAGUACCAGGGGGCAAAUUUGUACAUUAAAAAUUUAGAUGAUAGCAUUGGUGAUGAUAAGCUUAAGGAGCUGUUUGCUCCAUUUGGCACAAUCACCUCAUGCAAGGUCAUGCGCGACCCCAAUGGUAUAAGCAGAGGUUCUGGAUUUGUUGCAUUCUCAACCCCUGAAGAGGCA